rnacentral:rRNA from 1 species
CGGAGGGUGCAAGCGUUAUCCGGAUUCACUGGGUUUAAAGGGUGCGUAGGUGGGCAGGUAAGUCAGUGGUGAAAUCUCUGGGCUUAACCCGGAAACUGCCAUUGAUACUAUCUGUCUUGAAUACCCUGGAGGUGAGCGGAAUAUGUCAUGUAGCGGUGAAAUGCUUAGAUAUGACAUAGAACACCCAUUGCGAAGGCAGCUCACUACGGGAAUAUUGACACUGAGGCACGAAAGCGUGGGGAUCAAACAGGAUUAGAUACCCUGGUAGUCCACGCCCUAAACUAUGGAUACUCGACAUCAGCGAUAAACUGUUGGUGUCUGAGCGAAAGCAUUAAGUAUCCCACCUGGGAAGUACGAUCGCAAGAUUG